AUGGAGAAUGCAUUGCUGAAGCUUUGGUCAAUGGUUGAAGAGAGCAAGUCUGCUAGGGUGGAUGAUAAUCUUCAAAGUUCUUUAACUAUUCACCAUUUGACAGAAGAAAAUAAGAAGCUGGAUGCACAAUAUGACAAGUUAGUGAAAGAUGUGCAUCAACUUGUGGACUUUCAGCAGGAUAGGGUUGUGGAUUUCAGUUAUCUGCAGUCAGCUGUCACAUAUCAGCAUCAAUGCACAGCUGAAUUGGUGGCUGGUAUGAAUGCAGAAAUGGCAAAGAAAGAUGCAGCUCUAGAGAAGCUUCAACAGAAGUUUGAAAUCCUGUGCAACCUGACAAGUGCUCAAGCAACUGCCAUCCAAAACCUCAAGUUGAAGAAUAUGAAAGAGAAGCAAUUGAGGAUUGAGGCUCAAGAGAAUUUGGAGCUGAAGAAUGCAGAGUUCACAAAGUUUGAGGAGAAGCUCACCCAAGAGAAGCUAGAGUUGAAGUUCCAGGUUGCUGAUCUGCUGAAGCUCAAGGAAAACCAUAAUGAAGAGAAGCAGAUGCAAGAGUUUAAGAUUACUGAGCUCAUGAAGGCAGAGGAGAAGCUGAAGGAGAAGAUCAAGGGGAUCCAGGCCAUCCUGGAGAAAUGA
rnacentral:rRNA from 1 species